rnacentral:rRNA from 1 species
AUCCCUGAGAGAUGAUCAGGUAGAUAGGUCAGGAGUGGAAGUACAGUGAUGUAUGGAGCGGACUGAUACUAAUCGAUCGAGGACUUAACCAAUU